rnacentral:tRNA from 1 species
GCCGGUGUGGUGGAAUGGUAGACACCAGGGACUUAAAAUCCCUUGGGAGCAAUCCCGUACCGGUUCGAGUCCGGUUACCGGCACCA